UCGUGGGUGACGAAUUACAUUAUUAAUUUCACCAGCGAAUUGCCGGACCCCUCCCGACCUUUUGACAUUUUGCCUGUUUGUUUCGUUCUCACACUUCGGCCCAACUGUCAAAUCCAAAAAGCAACAACAAAAACUUGAUUUUUCUCACAAGUGAUUAGUUGCAGUAUCCUUGUAUUAAAAUAUCCUAUUUGUGAAUAAUUGGUGAUUAAUAAAAAACGAUAGCUUUCGGGAUAGCCUGGAUGGUUCAAAACAUUUCAUAAGGUGAAAUUAAUUGUUUUGUGGCUGAUCCCAUCAACAAUGACGUUAAUAACCCCAAAGGUCAAUCACGAUGGCCGGGUGUUUAUGUCGUCUCAUCGGAUAAUAAAGUAUUAGUGGAGGACGAUCAUUGCCAUUGGGUCCAACCGAAAAUCUAGCAAACAACCGAAAAAUAUACUCAACCAAGGGCUGUUGAAAAUAAACAUCUUUUCGUACGAGAUGCCCGACAUCCCGGGAUUCAAAUAUGAAAAGACCAGAAUUGACGACGACGAUGAGUCUUCUGGUGAAAUUCAGGGGAUACAUUGUCGUUCUGCUACGAUGGCAGCCGGAUAGUACGGUAGACAAUCGGCAGUCCUAGUUUCGAAAAACGUGGUCUGUACAACAACCUCAGCAGCAUAAUUGAGAUCAUUCCGCAUCUCAACAACAGUAUUCCCAAGGAGCACCGGACACCUCAUUCAUGUACCAACCGACUCGUUUUGACGUUUUAGAUACGAGGCUAACAUGAAGCACUUGUCAAAAACGGUGUCCAACGCCGUUGUGUUAGGAUGAUGCUGCCCUCGAUGCUGCCUUUUUCCUACAAUGACCUGCAAAGUCAGAGUCGGUUCCAUCUUCGAAAUGAUGAACUAAUAGCAGCUGUCGUUGUCCACGAUCUGGAUGAAAAGACCACCAGCGAGUGAAACAUUAUGUUUAUCAAUUAUGGUGGCGGUACUAUUGAUGAGUAAAUCCUGUCAAUGAUAGCAUCUUCAAAGUCUGCAGCCGAUGACACCCAUCUUGGUUGUAAGGACUCUGACUACCGAUUGUCGUCACCGACACUGGUCAGCUUUGAAAAUUAAUUGUUGUUCGAGGGCACCAACGACAACCCGUGCCCGUUUCAAAUAACUAAACGCCGAUAUGUUGCGUCUUAAUGAGAUCGUUGCCGAAAUAAGCAUAUCUAAAAACUUUCACCACAUACUCGGCAUGCUUUAACUGGUCAGAACAUCACCACCAAAUCGCGGUGUACUCUUUUGAUAUUUAUGUAAACGAUAUUCGGAAUGUAACGGCGACAAGGGUCACAUUGGCAUCGAGGACAUCAAACGCAUGAUCAACAAACGAGAAAUACUGCUCAGAAGAAGAGAAGCAAAAGAAAGCCAUUUAUGCUAAUAACGCUAUGGAGCCGUACUGCUUCAAUAUGAAGUACAGUUUGACGAUCUACCGGGACUAUGCUAUAUGUUGCUGCAUUAUCAUGAUGUGUUACUAAUAAGUUAUCUUGUAUAUUGGGUUUACCCAAUGAUUGCUGAAAGUCACCGUAAUAAAGAUAAUAAAAAAAUAAAUGAAAUAAUUAUUCAAUCAAUAUCAAUCUAUCAAUCAAACAAUCUCGAUCAAUCUCAGUCAAUCAAUCAAUCAGUAAAUCUCAAUCAAUAAAUCUCAAUCAUUCAAUCAAGCUCAGUCAAUUAAUCAACUAAUCAAUCAAUCAAUCCUAAUAAAUCAAUUUCAAUUAAUAAAAUCAAUUACACUCA